rnacentral:rRNA from 1 species
UACGGAGGAUGCAAGCGUUAUCCGGAAUGAUUGGGCGUAAAGCGUCCGCAGGUGGCUGUGUAAGUCUGCUGUUAAAGAGUGAGGCUCAACCUCAGAAAGGCAGUGGAAACUACAUGGCUAGAGUGCGUUCGGGGCAGAGGGAAUUCCUGGUGGAGCGGUGAAAUGCGUAGAGAUCAGGAAGAACACCGGUGGCGAAAGCGCUCUGCUAGGCCGCAACUGACACUGAGGGACGAAAGCUAGGGGAGCGAAUGGG